GUCUGAAUUUUGAGUCCUAGACUCAUUAUUCGAAUUUCAAAAUCUUGGAGUAGAAAUGGUUCCAGAUUUGUGGUCCGAAGCCGAGUACUUCACAGUUUUAAGUAAAGAUGUCUUGCAGAAAUUGUUGAAUUGCUCCACAGUAUAAUUUCCUCUCAACUGUUUCAAAUUUCCUGAGUUCACAGGAGUUGGAUCUCAGAUCACCCAGAUUGAUGUUGAUUUGGAAAAAAUAAUGAAGUUAUUGCUUAGCAAAUGCUUUGAAAAAUUUCACCGAAUUUAUUCAAUCGCUCACUGAGAAACAAAAGGAAAAGUCAAUAAACGGGAGAAAGAAUGAAUCUAGACGAUACCGGCGAAAAUUUGCUAAGAACUCCCGGAAAAACUUUUCUCGAACUAUCCAUGGAAUCGAAGGCUCGGAAUCAGAAGCUUCUACAGAGGAUCUGCAGGACACUGACGGCCAAGGAAGAACCGAUGAGACUCUGCUCAUUGAAAAGGAAAACACUACAAUGAACACUGAUGUUGGAAUCUUUCGUGGAUACUGUUGGAAUCUUUCGUGGAUACAGAAGGACCAGAAAAUUCUGUAAUCAGCAAUUCGUGCGACGAUAAUAUUGAUAUUAUCACCGAUUCGAUCUUAAGAAUUAACAGUUCUAUAAGUCACAGUUCAUCUUCCGGCUCUCCUCAUAAUGUUCGCUCGCCUUCACUCAAGGAGAAGUUUUUCCAUGGAUAUAUGUACGCCGACACGGAUGAUAGUGGCAAAGAAGACAAAAUGCACAGACUGAAUAGAACGAAUGACCGUGUAGAAAAGAAAAAUGAGUCCUCUACUACGAAUUUUAGAUCUUCCAGCAGGAAAUCUGCGAAAAGAGCGUUGGAACAAACUGAACUCGCCAAAUGUACAUUGCAGUCCACUGCAAUUCCACGAAAACUGCCGAAACGCGAUGUAAAAGCGCCAGAAAGAUUGGGAUACAGAAACUAGGACCAGAUAAUUCGUAAUAAACAGUAGUAGUUUUCAUUAAUUUUUAAUAAAACUG
rnacentral:sRNA from 14 species